rnacentral:lncRNA from 1 species
AAUAGAAAACUAAAAAUGCAUAUAUUAAUAAUAAAAAUCCAUACAUUCAUUCAAACAUUAUUAAUCCAAUAUUACAUUCAAACAAAUUUCAUCCAACAUCACAAAUUUCAUCGAACAUUUGAAUCUUCAUUCAAACAUUAUUAAUCCAAUAUUACAUUCAAACAAAUUUAAUCCAACAUCACAAAUUUCAUCCAACAUUUGAACUUAUUAUUCAUCAAACUAGAAUAUGGUGAAGAACGUCCCUCUAACGCAGGAGAUCAACGAGAACAUAUCCAAGGACACCUUCAUGUAUUCCGGUCUCUCCUCCGAUUGCUCCACCAUCCGCGACUCGAUCACUUCUAGUAGCCGCUGCAUUAACAAGAACAGCUUUGUAAGCUUGGUAUUAAAAAAUGCAGCAGAAAAUAAGAAAAAGGAUUGAAGAAAAGAGAACACUCUAUCAAGCAUUCUGUCGAACAUCUAGCGGGCAAACUACACAAGCGAUUUCUCAAAGCUAUAAAGAAGAUGAAUCGCCAAGAAUAUAACACCAAAAGCUACCAGCAGAAGAAAAUCAGGAGAAGAAUGAUUAGGAUGCAGAUUUUCGUCUGAGUUUGAAAGGAAAAUAUGAGCUUUAACACCCUUUUAUAAUAGUAGUCUCCGGCGCCUUAUCGCAGUACCUCGGCACCUCCACCUCUCCGCGCGGCUUCCUCCACUUCAACCACCCCAAGGCCACCAGAUCUGUGCUGCUCUCUUUCCCUACGCCGCUGAUUUGAGUGCGGAUCUGGGUGUGUGCGUUGGGUGUGAGAAGAGAGAAAGUGAUAGAAAGAAAAGGGAGAGGAGGGAGAAGAUGGCGGUUGGCCGCGAUGGAGCUGCCGGGCUCCGGCGAUGGAGCAAAGUGGCUGGGCGGCGGGACCUAGGGCUGAGAGAGAGGGAUGAAAUCUGAGAGAGAGAUAGUGAGAUGGGAGGGGAGGGGGCGCGGCGCAGAUAAGGGGAAUAGUGAGAGAGAGAUAUAUUAUUACC